rnacentral:tRNA from 1 species
UCCCUGGUGGUCCAGUGGCUAAGACUCUGCACUCCCAAUGCAGGGGUUCAGGUUCCAUCCCUCGUCAGGGAA